UACGUAGGGUGCAAGCGUUGUCCGGAAUUAUUGGGCGUAAAGAGCGUGUAGGCGGCCCGACCAGUCCGCUGUGAAAGUCCAGGGCUCAACCCUGGAAUGCCGGUGGAUACUGUCGGGCUAGAGUCCGGAAGGGGCGAGUGGAAUUCCUGGUGUAGCGGUGAAAUGCGCAGAUAUCAGGAGGAACACCAAUGGCGGAGGCAGCUCGCUGGGACGUGACUGACGCUGAGACGCGAAAGCGUGGGGAGCAAACAGG
rnacentral:rRNA from 1 species